CCUACGGGUGGCUGCAGUGGGGAAUAUUGGACAAUGGGCGCAAGCCUGAUCCAGCCAUGCCGCGUGUGUGAAGAAGGCCUUCGGGUUGUAAAGCACUUUCAGUGGGGAAGAAAGCCUUGGGGCUAAUACCCUCGAGGAAGGACAUCACCCACAGAAGAAGCACCGGCUAACUCCGUGCCAGCAGCCGCGGUAAUACGGAGGGUGCGAGCGUUAAUCGGAAUUACUGGGCGUAAAGCGCGCGUAGGCGGUCUGAUAAGCCGGUUGUGAAAGCCCCGGGCUCAACCUGGGAACGGCAUCCGGAACUGUCAGGCUAGAGUGCAGGAGAGGAAGGUAGAAUUCCCGGUGUAGCGGUGAAAUGCGUAGAGAUCGGGAGGAAUACCAGUGGCGAAGGCGGCCUUCUGGACUGACACUGACGCUGAGGUGCGAAAGCGUGGGUAGCAAACAGGAUUAGAUACCCGGGUAGUC
rnacentral:rRNA from 1 species